UACGGAAGGCAGCAGUGGGGAAUAUUGCACAAUGGGCGCAAGCCUGAUGCAGCCAUGCCGCGUGUAUGAAGAAGGCCUUCGGGUUGUAAAGUACUUUCAGCGGGGAGGAAGGCGAUGCGGUUAAUAACCGCGUCGAUUGACGUUACCCGCAGAAGAAGCACCGGCUAACUCCGUGCCAGCAGCCGCGGUAAUACGGAGGGUGCAAGCGUUAAUCGGAAUUACUGGGCGUAAAGCGCACGCAGGCGGUCUGUUAAGUCAGAUGUGAAAUCCCCGGGCUUAACCUGGGAACUGCAUUUUGAACUGGCAGGCUUGAGUCUUGUAGAGGGGGUAGAAUUCCAGGUGUAGCGGUGAAAUGCGUAGAGAUCUGGAGGAAUACCGGUGGCGAAGGCGGCCCCUGGGACCAAAGGACUGACGCUCAGGGUGCGAAAGCGUGGGGAGCAAACGAGGAUUAGGAUACCCGU
rnacentral:rRNA from 1 species